rnacentral:lncRNA from 1 species
UUGAGGGCACUCACCAGCCCCGAGGUGAGGAGGUGCGUGGCCACCACCAGCCCCAGGCACCAGAAGCGGCGCCUUUCGCAGGCGUCGAAGAAAAUCACCCCCCAGAAGGUGUGGAGGAGGACGAGGGCCAUGGUGAGGAAGGCUGCGGGGGGGGGGGGGAGGGGAGAGAGAGAGAGACCCCCCCCCACCUCAGACCUCGCCACCACCUCCCUCCUCCUCCUCCUCCUCCUGAGGGGCCACGCACGAGCCCGUGUCCCACAUCCCACCUCCUGCAUCCCAUGUCCUGCAUCCCACAUCCCAUGUCCCAUGUCCCAUGUCCUGCAUCCCAUGUACCACAUCCCAUGUCCCAUAUCCUGUGUCCUGCAUCCCGUGUACCACAUCCCAUGUCCUGCAUCCCAUGUCCCAUGUGCCACAUCCUGCAUCCCAUGUACCUCAUCCCAUGUCCCAUGUACCACAUCCCGUGUCCUGCAUCCCAUAUCCCGUGUCCUGCAUCCCAUAUCCCACAUCCCACCUCCUGCAUCCCGUGUCCUGCAUCCCGUGUCCCAUGUACCACAUCUCGUGUCCCAUGUACCACAUCUCCCAUGUCCUGCAUCCCAUGUCCCAUGUCCUGCAUCCUGUGUCUCGUGUCCCACAUCCCGUGUACCACAUCCCAUGUCCCAUGUACCACAUCCUGUGUCCUGCAUCCCAUGUCCCGUGUCCUGCAUCCCACGUCCCACAACCCGUGUCCCACAUCCCGUGUCCCAUGUCCACCCCAUGUUCCACAUCCCAUGUCCCACGUCCUGCAUCCCGUGUCUUAUGUCCCGUGUCCUGCAUCCAUCCCAUGUUCCGCAUCCCACAUCCCAUGUCCCACGUCCUGCAUCCUGUGUCCCACGUCCUGCAUCCCAUGUCUGUGUCUCAAGUCCUGCAUCCCAUGUCCCACAUCCCGUGUCUCGUAUCCCACAUCCCAUGUCCCAUGUCCUGCGUCCCACAUACCAUCCCGUGUCCUGUGUCCCGCAUCCCAUGUCCCAUGUACCACAUCCCAUUUCCACCCCAAAAUCAUUCCAGGGCCCUGGCUCUUACUUGAGCAGCUUGAAGUAGGCGAAUCGGAAGGUCUCCUGCAGCAGGACGGAGACGGAGGCCCCGAAGAGGAGGAGCCCGCGCUGCAGACGAGCGUCCUCCCGGUCACUGAGCUGCACCGACACGAACCACACCAGGGAGGCCAGGAGCAGGGACACCAGCCAGAAGAAGGCCCUGGGGGGGGUCGGGGGGGGACACACGGACAUGGGGGACACAGACACACGGACACACACGGACACACAAGAACAGGGGGUUCAGGCCACGGAGCUGGGAAUCGCCCGGAAAACGCUGGGGGGAUCGG